AUGAUGGUGCAGGGAGAGAUUGCCGGGCGGGACCGCGGGCAGCGCGGACCGGUCUAGGCGGCGCCGAAGGAGUAAGCUGCGGAGGCAGUGAAUCUCUCAGGCAAAAGGACUUGCACCGGACG
rnacentral:ncRNA from 2 species